rnacentral:rRNA from 1 species
AGUGAACGCUGGCGGUAGGCCUAACACAUGCAAGUCGAACGGCAGCACAGUAAGAGCUUGCUCUUACGGGUGGCGAGUGGCGGACGGGUGAGGAAUACAUCGGAAUCUACUUUUUCGUGGGGGAUAACGUAGGGAAACUUACGCUAAUACCGCAUACGACCUACGGGUGAAAGCAGUGGAUCUUCGGACCUUGCCCGAUUGAAUGAGCCGAUGUCGGAUUAGCUAGUUGGCGGGGUAAAGGCCCACCAAGGCGACGAUCCGUAGCUGGUCUGAGAGGAUGAUCAGCCACACUGGAACUGAGACACGGUCCAGACUCCUACGGGAGGCAGCAGUGGGGAAUAUUGGACAAUGGGCGCAAGCCUGAUCCAGCCAUACCGCGUGGGUGAAGAAGGCCUUCGGGUUGUAAAGCCCUUUUGUUGGGAAAGAAAAGCAGCAGGUUAAUACCCCGCUGUUCUGACGGUACCCAAAGAAUAAGCACCGGCUAACUUCGUG